UACGGGGGGGGCAAGCGUUGUUCGGAAUUACUGGGCGUACAGCGCACGUAGGCGGAUUGUUAAGUUAGGGGUGAAAUCCCGGGGCUCAACCCCGGAACUGCCUUUAAUACUGGCAAUCUCGAGUCCGAGAGAGGUGAGUGGAAUUCCGAGUGUAGAGGUGAAAUUCGUAGAUAUUCGGAGGAACACCAGUGGCGAAGGCGGCUCACUGGCUCGGUACUGACGCUGAGGUGCGAAAGCGUGGGGAGCAAACAGG
rnacentral:rRNA from 1 species